GCUAUUGUAAUUUAAUAAAAAUAUUAGUUUUGUAAACUAAAAAUUAAGUAUUUCUUACUAGAGCA
rnacentral:tRNA from 1 species